rnacentral:rRNA from 1 species
GAUGAACGCUAGCGGCAGGCCUAAUACAUGCAAGUCAAACGGGAUCUGAGGGUAGCUUGCUACCCGAUUUGAGAGUGGCGCACGGGUGCGUAACGCGUGAGCAACCUACCCAUAUCAGGGGGAUAGCCCGAAGAAAUUCGGAUUAACACCGCAUAAUAAUACGCUAACACAUGUUGAUGUAUUUAAAUAUUUAGAGGAUAUGGAUGGGCUCGCGUGGCAUUAGCUAGUUGGUAAGGUAACGGCUUACCAAGGCGACGAUGUCUAGGGGCUCUGAGAGGAGAAUCCCCCACACUGGUACUGAGACACGGACCAGACUCCUACGGGAGGCAGCAGUAAGGAAUAUUGGUCAAUGGGCGCAAGCCUGAAUCAGCCAUGCCGCGUGCAGGAUGACUGCCCUAUGGGUUGUAAACUGCUUUUGUUAGGGAAUAAACCUUCUUACGUGUAAGGAGCUGAAUGUACCUAAAGAAUAAGGAUCGGCUAACUCCGUGCCAGCAGCCGCGGUAA